GAUUCAUUUGCUAUUACAUUGUUCAUAGUGCCGGAAGAUACUCUGUAUGCUACCAGAGCAGAAAACUAAUCAGUAUCUCCCAGCUACAAACCUUAUGACCUAGAACAAUGAUCUGCCUGCAAGACUUACUUGUACAAUAGUGGCACAAAUGUUGUGAGACUAAACAAACACUGUUUCCUUUUUCUAAUCUAAGGCCUACCCUUGUGAGACAGAAUCCAUGUUGGAUACUGCUGAAGUGAUGAAGACCCUGAGACUAAAUAAGUCAUGUUUCUAGGAGGAAACCUACUGUUAAAUAAAAUGACCCACAACAGCAUGUUGCCAUAAUCAUAGACCAGAGAAUACUCAACCCUUAUCAGAAAAAUCUUUCCUUGCAGUAGAUGUGAAUUAACGUAGAGACUGACAACUGGACGAUACACAGAGAGUAAGAGACUUGGAGUCCUAAAUGGGAUGUCUUCCUCAUAUUUUGCCCUUCAAGGUUCAGGUAUCUAUAGAGAAAGGUGGGGUAGAAAGAUUGCCGAAGCCAGAGAUGUGCUCUAAGAAAAGAGUUUCUUCCAGAUGCAACAGGACUAAAGCACGUGUGAACUCACAGAGAAUGUGACAGCAUUCAGAAGAUCCUCACAGAUCAAAUGAAAAUCCCAGCACUGAGAAGGGAGCACAGGCAAAGCCCCAUUCCUAAUCAAGAAGCUGUUUGCAAUUGAUAACUGCUGGGAAAAGACCAUCCGUGUUCUUCCGUGGAGUAUCACUGUGGUGUGGAGCCACAGCUGGAGGAAGGACACAGCCCUUACCAUUGGUUCCAUAAAAGUCUGCUAAGAAACCGAAACACCAAUUCUGGAAAUUCAUAUACUAAGAAGAAAAACAACCUUUGAAACCUGAAAAACCAGAUCCUAGUAAAAUACGGACGCCAUUAUGGUAAAUACAAUGUGAAAAUAAAACAUAUUUGACAGUUCAUAUACAAAAA